rnacentral:rRNA from 1 species
GGACGAACGCUGGCGGCGCGUUUUAAGCAUGCAAGUCGAGCGGUAAGCUAACUUCGGUUAGCCUAGUAGCGGCGGACGGGUGAGUAACACGUGGAUAAUCUACCCUCUUGUUUGGGAUAGCCUGUGGAAACAUGGGGUAAUACCAAAUAAUACUCUUUUAUCACAAGAUAGAAGAAGGAAAGGCGCCUCAAAGCGUCGCAAGAGGAUGAGUCUGCGUCCCAUUAGCUAGACGGUAGGGUAAAGGCCUACCGUGGCAAUGAUGGGUAGCCGGCCUGAGAGGGUGAUCGGCCACAUUGGAACUGAGAUACGGUCCAGACUCCUACGGGGGGCAGCAGCUAAGAAUCUUCCGCAAUGGACGAAAGUCUGACGGAGCGACGCCGCGUGAACGAUGAAGGCCGUGAGGUUGUAAAGUUCUUUUCGGGAGGAGGAAUAAGGUUUGCAGGGAAUGGCAGACUGAUGACGUUAAUCCCGGAAUAAGCCCCGGCUAACUACGUGCCAGCAGCCGCGGUAACACGUAGGGGGCAAGCGUUGUUCGGAAUCAUUGGGCGUAAAGGGCGUGCAGGCGGUAUUGCAAGUCUGGCGUGAAAGAUCUCGGCUUAACCGAGGGAACGCGCUGGAAACUGUAAUSCUAGAGUACAGGAGGGGACAUUUGGAAUUCCAGGUGUCGGGGUGAAAAUCCUGUAGAUAUCUGGAAGACACC